rnacentral:lncRNA from 1 species
CUGGAGCCCAGGCUAAUGCCCUGUACAGUCAGAAGCACAGGAGCAAUGCUGCAGCCUUGUGGUAACCAAAGUACGCCAUGCACACAACUCAAGAAGAUGCUUCCUGUGAUGCAGGAACCUUAUCAGCUCUUGACUUCUUCACUGACUUCUUUCAGAGAAGAAUGAUUUAGCAAACAGUAGUCAAUACAGGUAGCUGCAGGAAGCAGGGUGAUCUUUUAUCUCCACAGAAGAAAAUUGAAAGCUCCAGCUGAGUAAAAUGAUGAGGAAAUGGAAACAGAAUUGCUGGGUGAGACAAAUCCAG